GUGCCGUAAGUGCCCACUCCAUGCAGGUCUCAAGCUGUCUAAACUGCGUACUGGUUUCAACUGAAAGUGAUGCAUGACAAAUUUUUACUUUUCUUUCUCAUACAAGAAAUUAACUGAUACAAGUUACGAAAUAUCUAAUCUUUUAUUGGAACAAUUGAAGAGUGACAAUGUAUUUCUACUGAGCUUUGAUUCGUGACGCAUGCACGUGGUGUAUUUGGAAAUAUCACAUCUCGAAGUUCGUGCAUAAGAUCUAUAUUUAUACGUUCCAAUGGAGAGUCUGAUUCUUCAGGAGAACUAGGACUUAAAGAUACCUGAAGCGUUUGGGUAGGCACUCCAAUCAGGAAUGGCAUAGGCGCUAAUAAAUAAUCUAUUAAUGCUAGUGGCAGAACUGGGAUGUAUAUGUGUUGCCAAAUCAUUGGAUAAAUUAAAGCGUUGCACGCUUGUACACAUGCACUUAGCCUCGAUAGACGUUUCGAAAUAAAAAUAAUACGGCGUUCAUAUAACAUAGAUGCGAAUAUCAUCAUCAUAUUGUGCGA